GUUUGAAGUGGGAUUUAAGCAAGAAAAGAUAAAUAACCUAAUGCUUCAAAGUGUAUUUUCUAAACUUUUGAUAAAAUUAAUAAUUAGUUGAUUAAAUUUCGAUAUUUAUUUUGUACUUAGUAAAGCCGGUCAGGCAUGUUAAUAAUAAUUUCAGAAUUAUGUUAUAUGUUAUGAAAUCUAAAAAAUUUGACUGGGCAAGUUAUAUAUUUUGUUUGUAUGUAUUCUCAGCAUAGCUUUGAUGUAGCCCCACCUAAGGAUUGUUCGUUUGUCCUGUUGACUUGUAAUUUAUGAGAAAUUGAUUUCGACACCACACCAUCGGUGAUUAGAAUAAUGGUAUUUGGAUACCGUUGCCACCGACAGUUAAUAAUAGUGGUUUUGGAUACUUUGUGCAACCUAUGCCAUUGGGUUGCGUGGCCAUAAUCUAUUGAUGUUGGGAUCCUAGUAUCAGUUUUUAUAAAAAUAUUUAAUAAAUUUUAAAAGAAAAAUAUGAUUAUUUGUGAUUUAUUUUUCAAUCAUUAUUUUGUAUUUUAAUUAAAUAUUUGGCAUGCUUUGGCCUCACUCUAGGGUAUUAUGUUGCUUAUUAGGCUAGUGUAGCUCAUUACUAUAUUUCUCUAUUUUUCAGAUCCAGAUGCAUAGACAUAUGAUCGCUCGAGACUUAGUGAGUGCACUAGAUUCUUGAAGAUUCUUCGGUUAUUAUCAUUUAGUUAAAUUAGUUAGAUUAUUUGAUUUAUGUUAGCACAUGCUAUGUUGAAACUAUAGUAAGAACUAUUUGAACAAAUUAAUGUUUAAAUAAAUUUUAAAGAUUUGUUGUUGUUGUUUUGAUAUAAUCUAUUGCCUUGCAUACCUAUACGGUCUGCCGUAUAGGCAUGCAGCGUAUAUAAUGAAAAUCGUGUUUUCAAAGAGGUUAACAAAAAUACCAUAUUUUCUUCAAGUAAAUUAAAAAGUAGUAAGAAAAUUAUAUGUCCUCAUUUGUAUGAUUAAAAAGUCACCCUCGGCGAGAUGAAUAUGCACGUCCUUUUUACAUGCUAGUCUUCUCCAAUACACUUUGGAGGCAAGUUCUCUUCACAGACUCUCCCUACUACAUUAAAAUCUUUAAGUUUUAUUUUCUAUACAACUGCUCUUUUGCAAAAAUGAAGUCACACAUUUUAUUAUGGAUAUUGUUGCAUUCAUGAUGUCAAAAGAAUUUCUAGUAAUCUAUAAAAUAGAUUAUAAAAAUAGAGC
rnacentral:lncRNA from 1 species